rnacentral:misc_RNA from 1 species
UCUCCGUUGGUGAACCAGCGGAGGGAUCAUUACCGAGUUUACAACUCCCAAACCCAAUGUGAACUAUACCUGUCUACCGUUGCUUCUGCGGGUUCGUCCGCCGAGGGACCGACAAAUAAACUCUUGUAUUUCUAUCUUUAGCAUGUCUGAGUGGAAUCAUAAACAAAUGAAUCAAAACUUUCAACAACGGAUCUCUUGGUUCUG